GUUCCAAAACCCUGUGGGUGGUACUAAUAUGUAAGAAUGUGUACAUAAGCACAAUAAACCCACAGCUCUGACUGUUCACUGCUUGACCCUCAACACAGAGCUUUGUCUCGUUCUUGGGGGGAUUUAUUGUAUGCUGUUCCAGUUUGACUGCUAGGAGUGUAAACCUAUUCGUAUGGUUUUUCCUAUUCGGCUGUUUACAGCAUUCGUAUGGUUUCC